GGCUCCAUAGUGUAAUGGUUAGCAUGUCUGCUUUACACGCAAAAGAUCCUGGGCUCACACCCCAGGUGGAGCCA
rnacentral:tRNA from 1 species